rnacentral:misc_RNA from 1 species
UUUGUGCGCGCGCACACACGCACAUAUACACACACACACACACCUGUGCUGCCUCGCGGCCAUUUUCGGCACACCCACGUACUUGGUGAUGGGUCUGUCUCUACCCGUUCGUCCUCCCCAUCCGUACACGUGCGUGCAUGCAUGGGUGCCAAAGCCCUCACCGUUUGGUCUCUCCGACUCGCGCCUCACAUUCUCAGCCCCCUCCCCCCUCUUCCCGACUUUCCCCUUCUCUCUCUCCUCGUCUUCCCUGCCGCACUCUCGCUGGCAGGAGAAGGUGCACAGCAGCAGCAGCAGAGGACUUGACGGGGCGCUUAUUCGUUGGCUUCGUGUUGGCCACGCGGCUGCGGCUCUCUCACGCAGAGCCUGCUUGGCGUGUGUCCGUCUGUGUGUGUGUGUGUGCGGCCCCUCCUCUCUAGGCACGCGCACUCUCCCACGCAUGCGCACGCGCACACGCACAUGCAUCUGCACAUAGGCAUGCACGUAUAGAGAGAGGGACAUCUUCACAUCUAUACACACGUCUGCAGACCCCUACAGGACACCACGCAGUCGAACCCGACGGUGAGCCAUGAAGGUCCAGCACUUGACCGUGGAGACCCUUGACGGUAAUGGUGAGAGGGGAGCCUCGGCACCAGCAAUACAGAUACUGGUUCCGCCGCUCUUUAAGGGUGACGCCGCUGUCUUGAGGGCUGCCGCUGUUGCCAAUCACGACGGCGGCGCCGUUACGAGGGCCUCAUACUUGUCCAUUUCGUCCUCCGUCAACAGUUCACAGUGUAGUUUCUUCGGCGGCAGCAGCUCUGCCGUCUCGCCGCUGGCCUCGACAAGCGUGUCACAGGCCAAUGUCGACACCCCCAGCAGCACAUACGAGGCGGCUGUCUGUGCGGAGCUGCAGCGGCUGCUGGAGCGCUGCGAGCAGUCUUGGAUGCACACAAUGCAUAUUCCGCGUGUUAUUCUGCGCAGCGUCGCUCUGGAUCAGAACUGCGCCAUCGCCGCGACGUGCGCCAUGCUCAUCAUCUCCUGCAUCCUCUAUCCGAUGACGCAGACGAUCCUGUGCACGAUAUUGUUCUUUGCCCUCUACGGCCUCUGCGUGCUGCUGCAGGCAUACCACUUUUGGGCUCGCGUGACGGAGAUGAAGUACCGCACCGCCUCUGUGACCAGGGAGGUGCUGGCACGAUGGUGGCGCCGGGUCCAGGAGAUGCCGCUGCGUCGCAGCCAGACCGCCGAGGAGCGGCGGCGCGUGUUUAUCGAGUCCUUCUCGCAGUUACCGGCUAGCGCGUUCCGCAUGGUGGCCGUCGUCGACGAGCGCACAGGCAGACUGAAGCACAUCCACAAGAGCUUAAUGGUGAAGAUGUCCAAGCGGCUAGACGAGUCGACGCUGAAGGUGCGCUCUUACCUGGAGCCGACGAGCAUCUGCAAGCUCGUCGACGUCAUGCGCAUCACCCUCGAGUGUGAUGCGAUUGUGCUGAAGCCGCUGACAGAUCGCGCCCGACCACCGCGGCUGCCGAACCUGCUCCUAUCCGACAAGCCCUUUGUGGAGGACGAGGACACAACGGACAGCAGCGACCACGAGCGCGAGUCGCGCACGGUGCUGGGCGGCGGCAACACGAUCACCGUGUCGCACCACAUGGAGUACUUUGUCCACCGCGUCUUUCUGCUCGUCUGGGCAGCAGUGAUGGUGCUGACCAUCGGCACCGGCGUCAUGCUCUGCAAGUUUGUACGAUUACCCCUCGGCGAGGGCGUCUUCCUGGACCCUGCCGUUGCGGCGCUGGGUCUGCUACCCCUCAACGCCAUCGUGCUCAACCGCGUGCUCAUCUUCUACGCCAAUGUCUACCUCGACAAGCUUUUCCACUACAUGGUGUCACGCCGCUCCUACGCGCUGGAGGAUCGGCUGCCACGCUUCUCCUUCUGGUCUACGCUGGUGACGAUGGCGCGGGUGGUGUGCCGCAUGCCGCCGCCGAACGGGGGCCGUAACCCACUUGUCUUCUCCACUUCUCUUGUCGACGUCUUCGGCAUGGCAACGGUGGUGGCGAUGCUGGAUCAGACGGGGAUUGUGACGGAUAUGGUGCUCGUCCCUAAGCAGGUGUUCCUGCUAAAGUCCGACCCACAGCAGCAGCAUCAGCAUCAGCAGAGUUCUUCCAGCGGAGAAAGCGGCGACGAUGACGAUGGUACGACGACUGUGAAGGGCUGCUUCUCGCAGCGCAGCGAGCGCGACGCUCGUGAGCGCCGCCGCGACAUGCACAAGCAAAUCAAGCGCAAGAAGUAUCAGGAGCGCCGGUUUCUGGAGCUGCGGCUGAUGCAGUCGACAAGGCAGGACCUGGCGGUCGAGUUCGCCGACGAGAAGGCUCGCCACAAGCACAACAGCCACCUCAAACCUCUCUGCCUCGCCAUCCUUGUGCACGCCCUGGCACGAGAGCCGACGCAGCUCGCGACGUGGACGGAGCCGUUCCGCUUCUGCGACCGCUCACUUCUGUGGGCGCGUGCAAUGCACUGGAUCCCGCGGGCGUGUGGCUUCCACGACAGAGUGGCACACAACUUCCUGAUCCUUGCGCGCAUCUUCGUGAUCAGCACGUCCACCGGGAGCGGGUACCGCGACACCUACCCGGAGCAGGCGUGCUCGUACCUCGUCGAGGGCAGCGAUGGCGCGCUGCACCUCUUCACCAUCGGUACGCCGUAUCUCGUGUGCCACCACUCGACAACACACUGGACAGGAACGACGAUAGAGGAGUUUGACGCCCACGAUAAGGCGGAGGUGCUUUACAUGGGUAAGCACCAAUGGGAGGAGGGGGCGACACUAGAGACGGUGGCGCUGUCGCACCGCAUUUUGCCGGAGCGGUACCGCCGCUACGUCGCAACGCUACCGCGCCACGCGCACCACUACAACGAGUUUUUCUUUCGAAACGGCGCCGAGGUGAACAGCACUACAGCGAAGAAGGCGCAGGUGGAGCGGCGGCAUCGCCGCCAGCAGCGCGCGGCGGCGAAAGCGGCUCGUAGUGGAGUCGCUGCGCCGCACCCGCAAGCCGCACCGCAGUCCGCCGAUUCAAGGCAGGAACCGCGCGGGGAGAGCGGGACCAGCAGGUGCCGCGUCAUGCGACACGACGGUGGUGGCGCUGAUACCGACGACGGAGCUCCCAUACCGUCGGCGGCCAUGCAGCGCGAGCGCACCGAGGCGGCUGUGCGCGCAGGUGACAGGGAGAUGGGCGCGGAGAAGGAAGUGGGUGCGGUGGGUGUCAGCGAUGACAGCACCAUGAGCUCCUACGACGCCGACAAGUGGGGCGGGGAUAGAGACAUCGCGGUUGACGAGCGCGACAUCAGCGGCCGCGACAUAGAUCGGCAGCGCCAGCUGUGCGGCACGCCCCGGCGCCGCUGCCGGUCCGCACCGCCGGUGCGCAGCACGCGGCCGGCGAACGUGCAGCCGCCGCGCAACCGCUCCUUUGGCGCCGCCCCGACGGACGUCGUGGCCGACAUCGAGGGGGAUGACUGCAUCACUGUGAACACCUUCAUCUGGCUCAUGGCGACCACCUCUCACACGUUCCUUGGGCUGAUCGGUUUGCAGGACUCCGUGCGCCCCAACGUGCAGAGCACCAUGAGCUUGCUGGAUGAGUCGGGUGUGCGCUGCAUGUAUUUCUACGCUGGCACGGAGCGCCAGACGAAGAGCUUCGGGAGCCGGGUCGGCUUGGACACGGACUGGAACUGCUGCAUCUCGCUGAAGGAGGACGCCGUCGCGCUGGACCCGCACAGCAUUCGCGCGCAGCUGCCGUUCGGCAUCAAGUCGAUCCGCAAGCACAUCCUGCAUGUCGACCCGAUUCCGCUUCAGGUGAGCCUGUUCUCGCACGCCCUCGGAGUGUCGAAGCGGGCGAUGCUGUCGGUGCUGCAGGACAACCACGAAGUCGUCGUCGCGGUCGGCUCGGUGUUCAACCAUAGCAACGUGCGCAGCUUCGUGCAGGCGGACUUGUCGAUCGGCGUGCUCCCUACCAGACGCGGCACCAACGCGGAUAAGGAGGGCGCGCUGAAACACACCCGCGUCGUGGAGCCGUCCGACUUCGCGGCGGCGAACAGCCUCAACCGCGAUAUCCCGCUCUACCGCAACGUGGCGGAGCUGAUCGGUUGCAGCUGUUCCCUGCGGGCGCCGCCAACGACGUCCAUCUUGCCGAUUGUCGCCAUGAUGAUUCGUCAGGCACGCCUGCGGCUCAGCGGCAUCAGUAACGGCGCCGAGUUCGUCAUGCACGCCAACUUCUUCCUUGUCAUGGUGAAUACCAGCUCGCUGAUCGUCGGGGUGCCACUGCUGCUGACGCCCUCUGUGACGGUGUUUGAGCUCUACGUGCUCAUCCCGAUUUUGGCGCUGUGCUGCACUUACACGGCGUACGCCGGCAUGGAUGCGAUGCGAGUGAUGCCGUCGCGCCACAAUCACUUCGUCCGCCGCGCAAUCUUCCGGCACAGCGCGGUGGUGUGGUGCCUGCGCUACGCCAUCUCGGUUGUGGCGCUCCUGGCGCUCGGCAUCACUGCCUCCACGAAGCUGUGCAAGGUCAGAGUGCUGAAGCUAAUCACAAUGGAGGAGGCCACGUGCAUGUCGUCUGGUCAGGGCUACGUCGCGCUCACCUUCAACUACUGGCUCAUGGUGCACUGCUGGACGCACAUUAGUCGUCAUCACCCCAUCUCCCUCACCUUCUCGCUGAAGCUGGAGCAUGGACGCCGCUCCACGUACCUUUUCCGUUCCUUCCGCUGGGUCGCCGCGAGCUUCCUCGUGACGCUACUGAGCAUCAUCAUCGUAGUCCUCGACACACCGAAGGCCGCCCUCCACCACGCCUUCUUCCCUUCUGUCCCGCACUUCAUUGUGUCGCUGCUGUUCCCGGUGCUCAUCCUCGCACUGGACUGGCCCGUCAAGCGGUGGCGCGAGCGGCGUUUCACGAACAUGCAGAAAUUUCGGAAGCUGUCGUAUGGGACGCGGCUUGGCAUGCACUCGCCCCGCGGCGACUACGAACCGGAAGGCAUCACCUACACACACACCAGCACCGUCGGCGGCGCUGGUCGAGAGGAGGCGGCGCCGGCGGAGCGCGUCGGACUCCUCAAGCGCGUGAGCGAGUGGUUUUACCGCUUCAGCAGCAUGCGUGGCGGGAAGCUGGAGCUGAACUGCGUGUGCUGCGACCACAUCGGCGGCAACUACGCUACCUAUCACACCACGGCUAACGUAUAAGAUUGCGGUUGGUGCGCACCGCGUGCGACGUUGUGUGCGUGCGCGCAUGCGAUCUGCUCAGGGAUGUGCGUGCGUGCGCACAAUUGGGUAUCGCUUCCGAGUAGAGGGGCGGCGUCUUCCAUCUUGGCUUUUUAAUGUGUCUCGUUGCGCCAUGGAUGGGUGACGCGUCGCUCUCUGCGCCACCCAUCCGAUUUCUUUUUGACGGCAUCCAUGCUCCCUCCCACCCUCGCACAGAUACAUCAGCACGCACACGCACGCCACCAUGAGCUGCCUGUCGUUGAGCGAUACCGGCGCUCUUUGCGACUUUCUCUACCUGUCGCGUUGUGCACGUGCGCUUUCUCUCCUUAACUGCAGGCCGACAACUCCAGCAGCAGACGCGCACAGCACAGCACAGCACAGCACACACACACACAUACACACACACACACACACACACACACACACACACACACACGUGUGCGUAUGCGUGCAGGUGCAGUGCCAGGUGGAACGACGGCAGCUCUGCUGGCUUUCGCUGCCGCGUGUUCCUUGCAGUCUUCCUCUACGACUGCCAGCGGCCUUUCCGUAGCAUCUCCGCAUCCGACCUCCCUGC